GUAGGGUGCAAGCGUUAAUCGGAAUUACUGGGCGUAAAGCGUGCGCAGGCGGUUAUGCAAGACAGAGGUGAAAUCCCCGGGCUCAACCUGGGAACUGCCUUUGUGACUGCAUAGCUAGAGUACGGUAGAGGGGGAUGGAAUUCCGCGUGUAGCAGUGAAAUGCGUAGAUAUGCGGAGGAACACCGAUGGCGAAGGCAAUCCCCUGGACCUGUACUGACGCUCAUGCACGAAAGCGUGGGGAGCAAACAGGGUUAGAUACCCUGGUAGUCCACGCCCCUAAACCGAUGUCAACUGGUUGUUGGGAGGGUUUCUUCUCAGUAACGUAGCUAACGCGUGAAGUUGACCGCCUGGGAGUACGGCCGCAAGGUUG
rnacentral:rRNA from 1 species